rnacentral:tRNA from 1 species
GGGGAUGUAGCUCACAUGGUAGAGCGCUCGCUUUGCAUGCGAGAGGUACGGGGUUCGAUACCAUGCAUCUCCA